UACGUAGGGGGCUAGCGUUGUCCGGAAUCAUUGGGCGUAAAGCGCGUGUAGGCGGUCCGGUAAGUCCGCUGUGAAAGUCGGGGGCUCAACCCUCGAAUGCCGGUGGAUACUGUCGGGCUAGAGUGCGGAAGAGGCGAGUGGAAUUCCUGGUGUAGCGGUGAAAUGCGCAGAUAUCAGGAGGAACACCAAUUGCGAAGGCAGCUCGCUGGGACGUAACUGACGCUGAGGCGCGAAAGCUAGGGGAGCAAACGGG
rnacentral:rRNA from 1 species